CCUUGAUUAUUAGGACUAGUUACUGGCACAUGUCCCCCAUUGGGGAUACAGCCAAAAGGAAAGGAAGGAAGGAAUAUGUAUAUUAAAAAUUAACAAUUUCUCUAUUCACUAUGUAAAACUGCUUGCAGAACUUGAACGAUAGGUAAUUGGAAGACAGUAUAUUGUCUCUAAAUCGACUUAAUAUUUUUACGUAACUUGUCUAUGAAUACAUGAAAUCUACAAGAUUUUGACAGAAAAUACGCCAGCCUUCUAAAGGAUAAAAGUCGUAUAGCUACUCAAAUAUUUGUCUCACUCUAUUUUCAUAAACGGGACCAAAAUGCAUAUUUGAAGUAUCAUAGAGAGCAACUGGAAUCGAAGUUGCAUUAAAGGGAUGUUCGAAAAAAGACUUAUAAAAAGAAAAAGGAUGGAAAGAGUAUGAAUCCCAAAAUCAACGGUCUACCCCUACGACCUCACCACUGACCACACAGAUACACAAAUCGGUUUGUGUUGUGGAUGGGAAAAGUAAUAUUAAACCGUCAGAAAGGCAUCAAUGAUGGGCAAUAUACAAGCUACAUAAAGUAGUAAAUUCCAUACGAAUGCCGAAUUCGAGCAAAUACAGGAAGAUAAUAGGUGACGAAUAUAGUCCACUCACGACACAAGAAGAAAAAUACCUCCUUUUCUCUUACUGGCGGAGAUGUAUUUAUGUCUGCCGGUAUUCAGUUUUUUUGCUCCGUUCAAGAGACACUGUAUGUCGACUUCCUACGUCCAGGCAACGACAGUUCGGGUGCUGCUUCCUCGCUUACAAACGGAGCUACACUAAAUUGGCAGUGCCGUAUUGUUUGCUCCAUGCACUAAGAAGAAGGAUGGCUAGGCGGCCGGACGAAUAGAAUAGAAAAGCUACGAAGUGAAACUAAAAUUACCUUGUGCAAGGAUGGUGGAAGGCGGAAGGUGAAUGGUAGAUGAUAGUAGCAAUGUCGGAUAACAGAAAUAUACAGUUGAUUGUCUUUAA